rnacentral:rRNA from 1 species
UUUGGUGAUACGAGGUGUAGCGUAUAGACUGCGGUUUUGGGCCAGUCCAUCCGUUAAAGUUUCCCUUGACUGGGGCUCCAGAGAAGGUGCAAGACCUGUCCAGCGGAUGGUGCUGGUGCAUUUCCGUCUGUCUUUGAGUCGGGUUGUUUGGGAUCGCAGCCCAAAGCAGGUGGUAAACUUCAUCUAAGACUGAAUAUGACCACGAAUCCGAUAGCGAACAAGUACUGUGAAGGAAAGUUGCAAAGCACUUUGAAGAGAGAGUUAAAGAGGACGUGAAACCGAUGAGGUGGAAACGGAUAGAGCUGGCGUAUCUGGCCUGUAUUCAGCCGUGAGCUGUCUGGUGUCUAGUUUGUUGCCUUCCAGAUUGGUGCAUGAACUUGGCAUUUUGUUGGUUUGCGGUGCAUUUGCAGGUGGAGUGCGCUGAGGCGGUCGGAGCAGUGGCAUGAGCUUGGUUUUGAGGCCAUAUGCUUUGGUGUGUGGUACCCGAGCCGGGGGAGUGCUAUUUGUUCUGGCCGGAUGUGUGGAUGCUGGUCUCGGGCUCGAGUGGGCACCGAGCUGGCGGUUGGUGGCGGCCGCAUGCGACACGUGCCAGCAGUCAGUUCGGUCCUAUUCGGGCUCACAUUGCUGUCCCGCCUCGGUGUAACAGCCGGUCAUCUAUCCGACCCGUCUUGAAACACGG